GGAUGAAAAGGGCUAACCAUACGAAAGCAUGGGGCGCAAAGUCAGCAUCUAAAGUAUGUAUAUGCAUACCAUGAUCGAAGGACUGCCAUA
rnacentral:ncRNA from 1 species